rnacentral:tRNA from 1 species
GCGCUGGUGGUACAACUCUUAAGCACUUGGCUGCUAACCAAAAGAUUGGUGGUUUGAACCCACCCCGCAGCU